rnacentral:rRNA from 1 species
AGCGAACGCUGGCGGCGUACUUAACACAUGCAAGUCGUACGAGGAUCGUCGGGUUAGCAAUAAUUCGGCGGUUCGAGUGGCGCACGGGUGAGUAACACGUGGUAACCCACCCUUCGAGACCGGGAUACCCUCUCGAAAGGGAGGCUAAUACUGGAUACGUUCCCUGGGACGCAAGAUCUGGGGAGGAAAGGUGGCGAAAGCUGCCGCUCUUGGAGGGGCUCGCGGCCUAUCAGCUAGUUGGGAGGUAACGGCUCACCAAGGCUAUGACGGGUAGCUGGUCUGAGAGGACGACCAGCCACACGGGAACUGAGACACGGUCCCGACUCCUACGGGAGGCAGCAGUGGGGAAUUUUCCGCAAUGGGCGAAAGCCUGACGGAGUGACGCCGCGUGGGGGACGAAGGCCUUCGGGUU